rnacentral:rRNA from 1 species
GACGAACGCUGGCGGCGUGCUUAACACAUGCAAGUCGAACGGAAAGGCCCUGCUUUUUUGGUGUGCUCGAGUGGCGAACGGGCGAGUAACACGUGAGUAACCUGCCCUUGACUUUGGGAUAACUUCAGGAAACUGGGGCUAAUACCGGAUAGGAGCUCCUGCUGCAUGGUGUGGGUUGGAAAGUUUCGGCGGUUGGGGAUGGACUCGCGGCUUAUCAGCUUGUUGGUGGGGUAGUGGCUUACCAAGGCUUUGACGGGUAGACGGCCUGAGAGGGUGACCGGCCACAUUGGGACUGAGACACGGGCCAGAAUCCUACGGGAGGGAGCAGUGGGGAAUAUUGCACAGUGGGCGGGCGCCUGAUGCAGCAACGCCGCGUGCGGGAUGACGGCCUUCGGGUUGUAAACCGCUUUCGCCUGUGACGAAGCGUGAGUGACGGUAAUGGGUAAAGAAGCACCGGCUAACUACGUG